UACGUAGGGUGCGAGCGUUAACCGGAAUUACUGGGCGUAAAGCGUGCGCAGGCGGCUUUGCAAGACAGAUGUGAAAGCCCGGGGCUCAACCUCGGAGCUGCAUUUGUGACUGCAAGGCUAGAGUACGGCAGAGGGGGAUGGAAUUCCGCGUGUAGCAGUGAAAUGCGUAGAUAUGCGGAGGAACACCAAUGGCGAAGGCAAUCCCCUGGGCCUGUACUGACGCUCAUGCACGAAAGCGUGGGGAGCAAACAGG
rnacentral:rRNA from 1 species